rnacentral:rRNA from 1 species
UCCGGAGGAGGCAAUCGUUAUCCGGAAUUAUUGGGCGUAAAGCGUCCGUAGGUGGCCAUGCAAGUCUGCUGUCAAAGCAUGGAGCUUAACUCCAUAGAGGCAGUGGAAACUGAAUAGCUAGAGUUCGGUAGGGGUAGCGGGAAUUCCCAGUGUAGCGGUGAAAUGCGUAGAGAUUGGGAAGAACAUCGGUGGCGAAAGCGCGCUACUGGGCCGAAACUGACACUGAGGGACGAAAGCUAGGGGAGAGAAAGGG